rnacentral:rRNA from 1 species
CCUACGGGAGGCAGCAGUAGGGAAUCUUCGGCAAUGGACGAAAGUCUGACCGAGCAACGCCGCGUGAGUGAAGAAGGUUUUCGGAUCGUAAAACUCUGUUGUUAGAGAAGAACGUUGCAUAGAGUGGAAAAUUAUGCAAGUGACGGUAUCUAACCAGAAAGGGACGGCUAACUACGUGCCAGCAGCCGCGGUAAUACGUAGGUCCCGAGCGUUGUCCGGAUUUAUUGGGCGUAAAGCGAGCGCAGGUGGUUUAAUAAGUCUGAUGUAAAAGGCAGUGGCUCAACCAUUGUGUGCAUUGGAAACUGUUAGACUUGAGUGCAGUAGAGGAGAGUGGAAUUCCAUGUGUAGCGGUGAAAUGCGUAGAUAUAUGGAGGAACACCGGUGGCGAAAGCGGCUCUCUGGACUGUCACUGACACUGAGGCUCGAAAGCGUGGGUAGCAAACAGGAUUAGAUACCCUGGUAGUCCACGCCGUAAACGAUGAGUGCUAGUUGUUUGGGGCUAUCCAGCCCUAAGUGACGCAGCAAACGCAUUAAGCACUCCGCCUGGGGAGUACGACCGCAAGGUUGAAACUCAAAUGAAUUGACGG